rnacentral:pre_miRNA from 12 species
GCGCUUGGCGGGAACUCCGGCUGUGAUUUGCGUAUUUUCAUUUCUCUCGCAUCACAGUCUGAGUUCUUGCUGUGCGU